rnacentral:rRNA from 1 species
UACGGAGGGUGCAAGCGUUAAUCGGAAUUACUGGGCGUAAAGCGCACGCAGGUGGCUGAGUCAGUCGAUUGUGAAAGCCCUGGGCUUAACCUGGGAAUUGCAGUCGAUACUACUCAGCUAGAGUAUGGGAGAGGGCAGUGGAAUUCCCGGUGUAGCGGUGAAAUGCGUAGAUAUCAGGAGGAACACCCGUGGCGAAAGCGGCUCUCUGGGACGGUACUGACGCUGAGACGCGAAAGCGUGGGGAGCAAACAGG